AACACACCUUGUGCUCCUUGGGUCACCUAUGGAGCAUGCCUGUUUGAGUGUCAUAUUGAAUCAACUCCCCUCAGGUUUUUCGUUCUGAAAAGCCUGUUCAGGUGGAGUUGGAUUUGGAGGUUUCAUGCAGGUCCCCCUUGGGGGAUCAGCUCCUCUUAAAUACAUUAGCUUAUAAGAUGAAGCAAAAAGGCUCUUUAGCAUUGUUCAUUGGCUAUGGUGUAAUAAUUGUUCCAUCAUGGUGUUUAAAUGAUCAGUGUGUUUGACUGGAGCCUUUCUCACAUCAUUGUCAGCUUCUAAUUGUCAGGUGUAAUCCUGACAGAUAUAUUGACCCUUUGACCUCAAAUCAGGUAGGACUACCCGCUGAACUUAA
rnacentral:misc_RNA from 1 species